GCCGGCGCCGGCGCCGGCAGCGACGGCAAGAGGCCCUUUUGCUAAGGAUUGCGCUUUUCCGAGGGGCCUUUUUGCAAAAUAGCCACAAAAUAAACAGGUGAAAAUUACAAAAUACAUAGGAAUUUGCCGGGUUUCCUCUCCUCUGCCGUGCAAAUUCAAACGCAGGAUAAUCAAGUUUGAGGUAAAAUUUCUCGAUUUUUCGCUUUCGUUUGAAUUAAUGGAGAUAAAGAUUAGAGAGGUGAUUUGAAUCCUGAGAUCACUAGAGUUGGUGUGAACAGCACGAUGUGCAUCACUCUCAAAUUUGUAAUGGAAGUAAGCAGAUGAGCUUGUAUGUUGUUUUCUCUUUCAUUUUUUUUGUAUGAGUACAUACAGAAUUUUCAAUAAAGUCCGUACACCAGGUUAACAAUUGAGAUACUCGUCAUAAAGGGAUUCUGUUUGAGGAGACGUGCAAAUCAACAGAAAUUAACAUUGCUCAUAAGUAUUAUUGAAGUAUAGUUUCGAACAGAUGGAAAUGAUAUGACAUAAGUUAUCGUGACAAUAAAUUCCUAAUAUUGAACAUGAGUGACUUAUUG
rnacentral:lncRNA from 1 species